UCGUCAAAUGUAAAUAUUUUAAAUGUUAAUGGGAAGAACAAAUUCUUAAAAUGUACAAUAUCUCCAUAUAACAUGCCUGUUAGACUGUCAAUAGACAUAGAAUCCCGUUUUAUUUUUUACGCGUUUUUUUUAAAGGCGAGUCCGAACAAUAUAAAUAGUAAAGGCAAAAAUUUAAAGUUAUAUAAUUAAUUGAAAAAAGUAUAUCGGUUUCGAAUGUCAUACAAUAAUUAUUUUCUUCUUUGGUGUCAAAGUAAACUACAUAUUCGUACAGAAAAUAUUUCACAGUACAUGUAUGUAAAAUUUGUUAAAUAUUCUCAUAAUCGUUUGUUUCAUAUCAUAAAACUGCACGCGACUGGAUGUAGUUAUAAAGAGGCCACAGAGGCUCUGCAACGAACGGUGGCCAAAAGUAUUUUCACAGCAUAUAGCCUGGCAACAACUCACCGCUCGAGCAUAAAAGAAUAUUGAUCAAGCGCCCUAGCAGAUAGACGUAAAGCCUGGUGAACACAAAGACGCUAACAUCCUGCAGAAAAGUUCAACAUGGCUGACAACACCGUACGGUCGGAAGAUGUGUAAGGACAAAAGUGGGAUCGUUGCAUUACAGACACCGGUUUACUGUUAACUGUUGAGUUAUCGAUCCGGACAGAACUUAAGUGUGCACCACUGCAGUAUGAUGACAUUUAAGUUUUAUAGACUUUCAUGCAAUAGUUACUGUCACACAGCUCCGGACAUUGAAAGUGGAAGGACGGAGAACCACACAGAAACAAUAU